GAUGAUUCCUGUGCAUGAAGUUUUAUCCGGACUGUGUUAAACGUCUGGAGAGCUCUGAGGACCUCAUUGCAAUGCUCCACAGUAGAAUGUGGCCGGCACACCCGACUGCCUUGAGUGGAGAGACCACCGCUCGUGCGAUCCAGAUGUUCCCAAGGUUUCAUCUGACUGUGAGGACAAGGCCAGAGGCCAAAGUGCGUUC